rnacentral:rRNA from 1 species
GACGGAGGAUGCAAGCGUUAUCCGGAAUGAUUGGGCGUAAAGCGUCCGCAGGUGGCAGUUCAAGUCUGCUGUCAAAGACCGGGGCUUAACUUCGGAAAGGCAGUGGAAACUGAACAGCUAGAGUAUGGUAGGGGCAGAGGGAAUUCCAGGUGUAGCGGUGAAAUGCGUAGAUAUCUGGAGGAACACCGGUGGCGAAGGCGGCAUCCUGGACCGGUAUUGACGCUGAGGCGCGAAAGCUAGGGGAGCAAACGGG